AAUAUUGCACAAUGGGCGAAAGCCUGAUGCAGCAACGCCGCGUGAGGGAUGACGGCCUUCGGGUUGUAAACCUCUUUUAGGAGGGAAGAAGCGAAAGUGACGGUACCUGCAGAAAAAGCGCCGGCUAACUACGUGCCAGCAGCCGCGGUAAUACGUAGGGUGCAAGCGUUUUCCGGAAUUAUGGGGCGUAAAGAGCUCGUAUGCGGCUUGUCGCGUCUGCUGUGAAAACCCGAGGCGCACCCUCGGGCCUGCAGUGGGUACGGGCAGGCUAGAGUGCGGUAGGGGAGAUUGGAAUUCCUGGUGUAGCGGUGGAAUGCGCAGAUAUCAGGAGGAACACCGAUGGCGAAGGCAGAUCUCUGGGCCGCUACUGACGCUGAGGAGCGAAAGCAUGGGGAGCGAACA
rnacentral:rRNA from 1 species